AUGUGCAGAAUUGUGAUCCUGACAGCAACAGAGAAGUACAUUUUUCCUGACCAUUCUCAUGCUAAUGUGACAUGUGUGUUAGCAUCCUACAGUCAGAGCCAUCAUAGAUAUAUUGAUUCAAAAAACAGUCAGUGCACCUGUAACUCUGUGACAUUUCUAGCUUUCCUGCACGAGUUACAUCACCUGCAAAGCGCAGACCUUGAUCAGAUUUUGGAUCGCGGCCAUGCAAUGUAUGCCCUUACACUGGGACAGUUAUGUGUCGAUGGAACAAUGGUGCAUGGACACUUGAAUAUACAGGAACUCCCUGAGAUUGUUUUUGGCCAAAGACAGCAGCAUGUGCUGACAAAGUGUAACUCAAUGUAUGGAACGUUUGUAUCUUCUCCUGAAGUAGGCGAAUACCUCAACCUUGCAGCGAGACUUCAGUGCUUGACCUCUGACGUGAACUCCGCUCUGCUGGUAAUGACCUCUCAGUGCAUCGCUGUUUUCCGAGACCGGCAUGGAAGGUAUGGCUAUUUUGACCCACACACUAGACGACCUGAUGGACUUCCCUCUGGCCCAGAUGUCCCCGGCACAGCUGUCAUGUUGACUUUCACGCGUUUAAAUGACCUGGUAAAAAAGUUGAUCGCAAGCUUUACUAUGUUAGGCUCCAGCCCUUAUGCACCAUAUGAGCUCGUUCCUGUGCUUUUUAACAGUGAGGAUGAAUUCUCUAUGGAUGGAGUUUUGGCAAAUGUAGACUCCAAUGCAGAUACUGCUGAGUGCACUCCCUGUGAUGAAAUAUCAGACGCAAUUGAACUCAUGCACGUUUGUAGCGGUGAAGUUCCGGUGGAAUGCGAAACAUCUGACAAACCCCAACAGAUGCCAAAUCUAUCAAAACAUUCCAAAGAACAAAGGGUAAGGUUCGAAAAAAGACUAAAGGCUUUGGAGGCGACGAAAGCUAAACAUAGCAAAAAUGUUGAAACUGCAAAACAAAAAAAAAAUAGAAAAGAGAGGGAAAGGUAUGCUAAAGAUAAAUAUGUCGACAAAAAGAGAUCCUGUGAAACCAACAGUUACAGAAAAAGAAAGAUGUCCUACAUAGCCACUCGCUAUGAAAGAGACUCUAACUUCCGACAGAGACAGAAACACCGUUAUAGUCAAGACGAUGGCUAUAAGCAGAGGCAGAAGUCAUAUAAAAGAAACUGUUACAGUAAAGACAAAAGCUUUAAUCAGAGGCUGAGGUCAUAUAUAAGAAACCGUUACAAUAAAGACAAAAGCUUUAACCAGAGGCAGAGGUCAUAUAUCAGAAACCGUUACAGGCAAGACAAAUGCUUUAAUCAGAGGCAGAGGUCAUACACCAACACCCGCUAUCGCUUAAAUGCUAAUUUCAGGCAAACCCGAAGUACUUAUGUUACCAAUCGUUAUGCAAACGACCCUGCAUUCAGAUCCAAACAGAAAGAAAAAAUGAGACAACGCAUGCGCGAUACAUACAGUAACAACCAUUCGUUUGGCAUGACUUAUAGCAUGUAUUGUGCAAUGAAAAUAAGACAAAAGUACAGGAACGUAAACAGAAGACCAAACCAAAUGGACGACAAUCGGCCGAACCAAAUGGAUGACAAUCUCACUACGGAUGCUAUUGAGGUUUUUCGAUCCAGCAUCAAAAAUGGGCCGACCUUUGCGUGUACAGUUUGCCACCGUGCGUUGUUUGCAAAUCAAGUGCGAUACUGCGAUAGGUCAAAGUAUACUCAGAACAGAGAUGUUGUUGAAACCUGCCUUACAGGGAAGUUUGUUCACGUUUGUAACGAUUCUUGUGAAAAUCCAGAGCAGUGCAAUGUACCAAAUGAGAGAAAGAGAGAGUGGAUCUGUCUAGGGCUGCAACAACGAAUCGAUAAAAUCGAUAAAAAUCGAUGA
ensembl:lncRNA